rnacentral:rRNA from 1 species
UACGUAGGUGGCAAGCGUUAAUCGGAAUUACUGGGCGUAAAGCGUGCGCAGGCGGUUUUGUAAGUCUGACGUGAAAUCCCUCGGCUUAACCGGGGAACUGCGUCUGAUACUGGAUGGCUUGAGUUUGGGAGAGGGAUGCGGAAUUCCAGGUGUAGCGGUGAAAUGCGUAGAUAUCUGGAGGAACACCGGUGGCGAAGGCGGCAUCCUGGACCAACACUGACGCUGAGUGAGCGAAAGC